UGCUUGUCUCAAAGAUUAAGCCAUGCAUGUCUAAGUAUAAACACGUUAUACUGUGAAACUGCGAAUGGCUCAUUAAAUCAGUUAUAGUUUAUUUGAUGGUUUUUGCUACAUGGAUAACUGUGGUAAUUCUAGAGCUAAUACAUGCGUACAAGCCCCGACUUCUGGAAGGGGUGUAUUUAUUAGAUAAAAAUCAACACUGUUGGUGAAUCAUGAUAACUUCUCGGAUCGCAUGGCCUCGUGCUGGCGAUACUUCAUUCAAAUAUCUGCCCUAUCAACUGUCGAUGGUAGGAUAGAGGCCUACCAUGGUUGCAACGGGUAACGGGGAAUAAGGGUUCGAUUCCGGAGAGGGAGCCUGAGAAACGGCUACCACAUCCAAGGAAGGCAGCAGGCGCGCAAAUUACCCAAUCCCGACACGGGGAGGUAGUGACAAUAUGUAACAAUAUACGGCUUUAUCGUCGUAUAAUUGGAAUGAGUACAAUUUAAAUCCCUUAACGAGGAACAAUUGGAGGGCAAGUCUGGUGCCAGCAGCCGCGGUAAUUCCAGCUCCAAUAGCGUAUAUUAAAGUUGUUGCAGUUAAAAAGCUCGUAGUUGGACCUUGGGCCUGGACGGGCGGUCCGCCUCACGGCGUGUACUGUCUUGCCGGGCCUUUCCUCUUGGUGAUCUGUUGUUUCGGCAGCAGGGAACCAGGACCUUUACUUUGAAAAAAUUAGAGUGUUCAAAGCAGGCUCGACGCCGGAAUAUAUUAGCAUGGAAUAAUAAAAUAGGACGUGCGGUUCUAUUUGUUGGUUUUUGGAAUCGCCGUAAUG
rnacentral:rRNA from 1 species